CUUUCUCUUCCAACUUCACAUCCUUCAAAGCUCAAAUAAAUCUUCAUUAACAUGUAAUAUCUUGAGAAGAACAAGGCUUAGAUAUAUAAUAUAGAUAAGACUUAUUUUCCUUACAAGUGUUUUUGGCCUUUUGGCAAAUUAUCUACAGUUUCAUGUCCAAAAACAGCAAUUGAUAAUAGUUAUACAAACGUAAAUCAUCUCUUUUCUUUCUCAAAGGUAAAACCACAUGUAAAGUUGGGGACUGGUGAGACUUGAUGAAACAAACUUCUAAGGUCUCUAAUCGAGUUUGAAUAGAAUGAGAUUGCUAUCAGUGCCUUAUCAAGUUACAAAAACUUACUCCUAAAUAACAUGUUACUCAUAAUCAUAAGAGUGACUAUAACUGUAUAUUUAGAUAAAUGUACAGAGAAAAUACAGAAUAUGGAUGGUAGUCACGUGAGUUGGAGACAAAAUCAUGAAAUGGGGCCUAAUGAGAUAUAUUUUCAAGAAAUACGGUUUUGUGUUUCUAUGAUUAAUACUCUCAUAUAUAGUCAUAGACGGUCAUGUGUACUAUGUUUCAUAUAUCAUGAAAGAAUCUUAAAUCUUAAAAUGAAUCAUGUAACAUAUCUACAAAAACAAUAAUAGAAGAGUUUUAUCAUUGUCUCUUUCCAUGAAAACAUUUGGUACUAUCAUUUCUUUGAUGCUUUUCUUAUCUUGCGAAAGAGUAUCUAAUUAUUGAUGCAUAUGCACGAACAAUUCAAAAUUUUAUGCAAUUAUUAUUUUUUUCCGUACCUUUUCAAUUGCAUGGACCUCACGCUAGCGACUAAAUAUUUCUCACUUUUUUAUUAAAAGUUUUCAUUUUUUUCUCUCUAAAUUAUAAUUUUACCAAAUUAAUAGAUUUUUUUUUUUGAUUUGAUACUGUUUUUCCUUAAUAUUUUAGGCUACGGUAAAUAUUACUGGAUUUUGUUAGAGUAAUCCUUGGUUAAGAAGUUUAAAUCAAACUCAAAUAAACAUAAAUGAAAUAAAUUCUUUUUGAAUUACUGUUAUAUUGAUAUUAUAUAUACCUGUUGUUGACCUUUCACUUUGA